rnacentral:rRNA from 1 species
GCAGGCUGCAACCCGCCUGCAUGAAGUUGGAAUCGCUAGUAAUCGCGGAUCAGCAUGCCGCGGUGAAUACGUUCCCGGGCCUUGUACACACCGCCCGUCACACCAUGAGAGUCGGGAACACCCGAAGUCCGUAGUCUGACCGCAAGGGGGACGCGGCCGAAGGUGGGUUCGAUAAUUGGGGUGAAGUCGUAACAAGGUAGC